rnacentral:rRNA from 1 species
CUACGGGUUGCUCCAGUGGGGAAUAUUGCACAAUGGGCGAAAGCCUGAUGCAGCAACGCCGCGUGGAGGAUGACACAUUUCGGUGCGUAAACUCCUUUUAUAUAAGAAGAUAAUGACGGUAUUAUAUGAAUAAGCACCGGCUAACUCCGUGCCAGCAGCCGCGGUAAUACGGGGGGUGCAAGCGUUACUCGGAAUCACUGGGCGUAAAGAGCAUGUAGGCUGGAUGACAAGUUGGAAGUGAAAUCCUAUGGCUUAACCAUAGAACUGCUUCCAAAACUGUCUUCCUAGAGUAUGGGAGAGGUAGAUGGAAUUUCUGGUGUAGGGGUAAAAUCCGUAGAGAUCAGAAGGAAUACCGAUUGCGAAGGCGAUCUACUGGAACAUUACUGACGCUCAGAUGCGAAAGCGUGGGGAGCAAACAGGAUUAGAUACCCUUGUAGUC